rnacentral:misc_RNA from 1 species
AUCAUCAUCUUCAUCAUCAUCAUCCUCCUCCUCCUCCUGUAAUAACUCAAGGUCAGGUAUAUUGCUGACAACAUCAACUUCCCCAUAUGCUUUUGGCUUUGCCUUUGGAUCGCUAGGACGACCUCGAUCCUUCUUAACCAAUAGUGAAGGACAAACCUCUCUAAAUAAAAUCAUGAGUGACCUAGCUGCAACUGAAACUGCCUUCUCAUGUGAUUUUUUAUACAAUACAAGAUCUUGCAGCAAAUCUUCUGUCAUCAACAGAGGCAUUCGCAAACAUAUUUCCCUUAUCACAUUGAGCCCAACAGCAAUAGCCUCUGGACGUGAACGGUCAUGCACAAAUUGAUUCACGAUUUGUUUGAAUAAUGGUUCAACUGCAUCUGGAGGCACCAUAUUGUGGCAUGCCUGAACAGCUGCUGCAAGUAAAUUUGUGAUAUCACGUUGAUGUGGCUGAACAUAUUUCUGAAGAAAAGGAUAAAAAUUUAACAACAUCAAUCGGUGAAGUCCAACAGUUCGAGCAAUUAGUUUCAACAUCAUCAUCUUAACCUCAAAACGUUCAUUGCAAGUCUGGAGGCGAGAGAAUAACCUCUCAGCAAAUCCCUGUGCAUCUUUAAGAUGAUUAAGUGGUGAAUAAUAACUUGAACCACUGUUUUCUGCCGACAGGCGUUGCUGCCUUUUCAUGCUGCGCAUGGCACGCUGCAGUUUUGCUUUCUUUUUCUUUUUACUGGAUACUGUGCCUUUAUGAUGUGCCUUAUAAAUAGCCUCUUUACUAAGGACAACUUGAGACAUUUGAGGAUUUGAGUCAUCUUCACUGCUGGAAGCAUCACUGUCAUCACUGUCAUCAUCCUCAAUCUUCUCAUAAUUCAGAAGAAAUGAUAGAGCAGCAAUCAUGAUCCUGGAUGAUGAAUGAAAACAUGCCAUACAAAUUGCAUUUGCUGUUCUAUCAUCAAACCACACCUUUCUCCGGUGAAACUCACAUAGUGUAAUAAGAGAUCUCUUGGCUCUUGCUUCAUCCUCUUGCUGUAGCAUUGCAAACAAGAUAUUCUGAAGAACUCUAUUCUUAGCCUCAUUUUUGUGCUUCUUAUUCAUGCGCCUGAUGCUAUGAACAACAUGAGAGAAUGCCAAUUUUCUUAAAUUUCUAUCUCCCAGAGUUUGAAGCUCCAUAAACAAUGCAAGAGUUUCACUGAUAUCAACCAUCUUUCGAUUAAUUAAGAGAAUAAGAGCUUGAGUAACAUGACACCUCAGCCCCGAGGGCAGCGAACGUGCAGAGGUUUUGAGAAACUCGGCGAGUUGACUCGGGAACUUGGCCAAUUGUUUGGGGUAAAAAGGAGUCACAUGAGCCAAAAACAUAGCUCGAUCCCCGAGAUCCUUGACAAUGAUGGGGUCGGCGCAGACGCCAGACGAGAAGAUAGAUGUGAAAUUGAGAGCUGCUUGCUGUUGAAAUAGCUCAAGAGCCGAGUUGAAUUGAAUGUAGAGGACACCAAGCUCGGUCUCAUAACCUUCCGGGUCCAUUUUCAUUUUGGAUUGGAGAGCAGGUAGGUUCAGCUUGUCGGAGCUCCGACCAGAGGCGGAAAGCGUCUCCGACGCCAUUGGCAGUAGUUGGGAUUUAGAUUGGGGGUUGGUAUUUGAAG